GGUGGCUCAGUGGUAGAGCUCUUGCCUUGCAUGCAUGAGGCCCUGGGUUCGUUUCCUCAGCACCA
rnacentral:tRNA from 1 species